GACGAACGCUGGCGGCGUGCUUAACACAUGCAAGUCGAACGGAAAGGCCCUGCUUUUGUUGGGUGCUCGAGUGGCGAACGGGUGAGUAACAUGUGAGUAUCCUGCCCUUGACUUUGGGAUAACUUCAGGAAACUGGGGCUACUACCUGAUAGGAGCUCCUGCUGCAUGGUGGGGGUUGGAAAUUUCCGGCGGUUGGGGAUGGAUUCGCGGCUUAUCAGCUUGUGGGUGGGGUAGUGGCUUACCAAGGCUUUGAAGGAUAGCCGGCCUGAGAGGGUGACCGGCGACAUUGGGACUGAGAGACGGCCCAGACGGGUACGGGAGGCAGCAGGGGGGAGUAUGGCACAAUGAGCGGAAGCCUGAUGCAGCGACGCCGCGUGCGGGAUGAAGGCCUUGGGGUAGUAAACAGCUUUCGCCUGUGACGAAGCGUGGGUGACGGUAAUGGGUAAAGAAGCACCGGCUAACUACGUG
rnacentral:rRNA from 1 species